rnacentral:lncRNA from 1 species
UUCCAACACAAUGUCCAUGGACAACGGUAAUGAGGUCGGCGCCUACGAGUUUGACCGGAACGCCCUGGACAACAUCGCCCGUCGGCGACAAGAUCGCCCACGCAAGAAAUACAGCCAGCAUCGUCCAGUGGAUGAGUUUGGAGUACAUAAGUUUGCCAGGGCAAACCAUCUAAGUCAAUUUACCGCGUGCCAAUUGGAGGAUGCCUUGUCCAAGGAAAGGUGCCAUAUGGACGACCUUGUCAACCUAUUGCGCCAAUCUAGUGACAUGGACGCAAAGCAGUUGCUUGGGGACAUCGGCCGAAAUGCCGGGACAAUGACUUAUUAGGGACAAUGACACGGCAUUUCACGCCCUCAAAGCGGCCCUAUGGCAUAAACAUGCCGGUUACC